AGAUUGAACGCUGGCGGCAUGCCUUACACAUGCAAGUCGAACGGCAGCGCGGGAGCAAUCCUGGCGGCGAGUGGCGAACGGGUGAGUAAUAUAUCGGAACGUGCCCAGUAGUGGGGGAUAGCCCGGCGAAAGCCGGAUUAAUACCGCAUACGACCUGAGGGUGAAAGCGGGGGAUCGCAAGACCUCGCGCUACUGGAGCGGCCGAUAUCAGAUUAGCUAGUUGGUGGGGUAAAGGCCUACCAAGGCAACGAUCUGUAGUUGGUCUGAGAGGACGACCAGCCACACUGGGACUGAGACACGGCCCAGACUCCUACGGGAGCAGCAGUGGGGAAUUUUGGACAAGUGGGCGCAAGCCUGAUCCAGCAAUGACCGCGUGCAGGAAGAAGGCCUUCGGUUGUAACGUGUCUUUGUCGAGGAAGAAUCUUCUGGCUAAGUACCCGGAGA
rnacentral:rRNA from 1 species